rnacentral:rRNA from 1 species
ACGGGAGGCAGCAGUGGGGAAUAUUGCACAAUGGGGGAAACCCUGAUGCAGCGAUGCCGCGUGAGUGAAGAAGUAUUUCGGUAUGUAAAGCUCUAUCAGCAGGGAAGAAAAUGACGGUACCUGACUAAGAAGCCCCGGCUAACUACGUGCCAGCAGCCGCGGUAAUACGUAGGGGGCAAGCGUUAUCCGGAUUUACUGGGUGUAAAGGGAGCGUAGACGGUCUGGCAAGUCUGAUGUGAAAGGCAGGGGCUCAACUCCUGGACUGCAUUGGAAACUGUCAGUCUUGAGUGUCGGAGAGGUAAGCGGAAUUCCUAGUGUAGCGGUGAAAUGCGUAGAUAUAAGGAAGAACACCAGUGGCGAAGGCGAUCUACUGGACAGUAACUGACGCUGAGGCGCGAAAGCGUGGGGAGCAAACAGGAUUAGAUACCCUGGUA